rnacentral:rRNA from 1 species
AUGGAGGGGAGCAGCAGCGGCAAGCACUUCAUCCUCAUCCACGGCCUCUGCCACGGCGCGUGGUGCUGGUACAAGCUGGUGCCGAUGCUCCGCGCCGCGGGGCACCGCGUCACCGCGCUCGACAUGGCCGCGUCCGGCGCGCACCCGGCGCGCAUGGACGAGGUGCCGUCCUUCGAGGACUACUCUUGGCCGCUGCUCGACGCGGUGGCCGCGGCACCGGCGGGCGAGAGGCUAGUCCUGGUCGGGCACAGCCUCGGGGGGCUCAACAUCGCGCUCGCCAUGGAGAGGUUCCCGCGCAAGGUCGCCGCGGCCGUGUUCCUGGCCGCGUGCAUGCCGUGCGUCGGCAGGCACAUGGGCGCCACCACGGAGGAGAUCAUGAGACGGAUCAAGCCGGAUUUCUUCAUGGACAUGAAGAGGAUGGUUCUGAACACGAGCCAGGGCCCUCGACCUGCACUCGUGUUUGGUCCAAAAAUAUUGGCAGCAAAGCUGUACGAUCGAAGCUCAGGUGAGGAUCAGACGCUGGCUACGAUGCUGGUGAGACCGGGCUGCCAGUUCUUGGAUGACCCUACCAUGAAGGACGAGGCUCUGCUCACCGAAGCCAAGUACGGGUCGGUGAAGAAGGUGUACGUGGUGGCCAUGGCCGACGCAUCAAACUCCGAGGAGAUGCAGCGUUGGAUGGUCGACAUGAGCCCCGGCACGGAGGCCGAGGAGAUCGCCGGAGCGGAUCACAUGGCCAUGUGCUCCAAACCCAGGGAGCUCUGUGAUGUCCUGCUCCGGAUAGCCGACAAGUAUGAAUGA